UCAUAGGCAUGAGAGGAACCAGCCCAGUGCCUAGGCUGGUGAAAAAGUUCAAGGGGCCUAUUUUUAUUCUGUCAAAAUUGCUUCCUUUUGGAACAAUUUGCAAAACCAGCCUGAACUUGAGCUAUUUAUGAAUCUUCCAGAAUGUUCCAGGGAAAAAUGGCACAUAGGUGUAGCCAAGGUCUGAAAAACUCGAAAGAAGAAGAAGGAGAAAAGUUAUUCACGCUUUGCCAUGGGACAUAACUCCCUGAGCAGGCUGGAGGCGUUGGAUGGAUCCAGACCUGUGGUUAAGCUUUCCCAGUUUUCCAAGGUGUUUGGGACCAGGAUAUAUUCGGGUCACUGACUGCAUAUAUGAGUAACCUGGGACAGAGGGAGGUGUCCCUGCCCUUGGCAGGGCUUGGUACUGAAUGAUCUUUAAGAUCCCUUCCAAUCCAAACCAUUCUGGGAUUCUGAGAUUCUGUGGAAUUGUUUUGGUGUGAAAAUCAGGUUAUCACAGCUGGCUGGUUCUUAGGUUUUGGGCUGGGACAGCAGGAGCAGCUCAUAUUCCUCAGAGAGCCCCCCAGGACAUCACAACCCCUGGUGUCACCCCAUGGAAGGGCCAGGAGAUGUGCCUGCCCCAAAAACCCACACAGGAUACACUGAGACGUGAGCAGAAGCCUGGGAAGCCUCUUUUCCCAGCUCCACCAAGCUCUGAUGGUAACAAGGAUCUGCUUUUAUCUCUGUGGGUAUUAACGCCACUAUAAACUCCCAAACGCUGGAGUUCCCAUAAAACUGAGGUGGGACUCCCGAGAAAUGGACACUUCCCAGCUCUUGGAAAUAGUGCAGAGGGGUUUUUGUAACAGCUACAACUGUAAUUUAAAGAGAGGAAGAGUGGUAUUCCAAGUAUUUUGUCUUUAAAAGGAAAUUCUGAAUAACUUAUGGAUAAGACAUUAACCCAGGCCUCGACCACUGUGGUUGUUAAAGAGCCCUCGGCACUGUUUGCAAGAGGGAAGGUGGAGGGUGUUGGUCUUGGAUUCCUGCCUAAAUUCCAGUUUAAGGAAAUGCAUCCCAACUACGUCAAGUUCCACCUGCCUUUUUACUGGGUCUGUAUUCCCAACCAUGGAUCAACAGGCCUGAAUUUCUCUGCCCUUCACCAGUGAGAAAAUGGCCAAAGCUCCGGGACGCGGCUGGUUCAGCUGGACUCCGGCAUUCCUCCUGCUGGGACAAGCAAACCCCUUGCUUUUGGGGUAGGAUUUAUGGUUUGUGUCUCAAGCCUUUAUCUUCAGCCUUGUUCAGAGGUGGAACAGGUGUCGUGGUGGAAACCUGGGAUGCUUAAUUGUCAAAAAUAGAGGAGGAAAGGGACCAGCAGCGCUGGGAGGAUCCAGCAUCCCCACUCUGGCCACAGCCCAGAAUAGUUCACAACGUAGAAAAUUCUCACAUCUACUCAAGACUGGCCUCACUGCCAAAGAAGUUUUUAAUUACCCUUCCAGAGGUUGUUAUCUCCAACAGCUCAUCAUUUUAAUGGGAUAAAUAUCCAUCCCCUCCUGCAGCAGGAUCCAGCGUGGCACAGGCACUGCUGCAUUCCAGCCCAAAGGUGGCCACACUGCAUCCACAGAAUAAAGUGAUCCCUGUAAAACAAGUUAAAAACAAUCCCUCUGGAUGGAAAAUGGGAAUAUUUGAAGACAUUUCUUUUAUCUUGCUUUGGUUUUAAAGAUCACACACUACCAGCAUGUGAAAAGGCAUCAUUUUUCUUCCCUGCAGUUAUUUAUGAUCCUAAUCCUGCUCCACCCUGUGUGUUACAGAUUGUGAGGCUUUUAAGUGAAACUUUAAAAAGCAGAUCAAAUCCCAUUUUCCCACCCUUUUUUUUCACUUCAUCUUCUCUGCACCCCAGCACGGGCACAUUUUAAAGGCAGGAAUCAGUUUACCUUCACAGCCACUCCCACAAAUGUAGUUCAGGUUCCAGAGCGUGCAGGGAACUGUAAAUUUGAGAGACACUUUGUAUUUGGAUAUAAAUAUUUUUCACACUUUGGCGAAGCAUGUUUCACCUUGUCUGCAUGAGCAACGAUGGGUUGUCCUCUGCUACCCCAGUUUUGCACUUCAGAGUUGCUCCUGAGGGAUGUUUCCGAAUGCUCAGGGGGGUGGUGAUGCUGCUGUCCCGGUUUUGCAAAUGAGAGUCCCAGUGUGAAACGAGGCUCAUUAACUUCUGCUGUUCAGGAGAUAUUGACAAAACCACAAGUGAGUGGCUCAUCUUCAAUAUCCACCCCAUCCACAUCCCACAGGGAUCCCAGCUGGUGCAUUUGCUGUACAAGGAUCUUCACAGGGAGAGGAAUUUGCCGAGCCCUGAGCAGUGGCUUCUGUUCCUGCUGUGGUUGGAUCCACUCUCGGAUGUCUCGGAGCUUCUCCAGCUGCUGCCUGCUGGGUGUCUGCUGCAGAGGAAUUUCUGUGCCCUGAGAAGAGGAUGGCUCCUGGCCCCGGGGGAUCUGCCUGGUUGGUUGGAGAAGAAAAUAUCUUGUCUGUGUCUUGGCCAGAUCACAGAGCAGAGCUGUGCUUCUUUGUGGGCAGUGGGAACAUCACCAGUGUGGGAUGGGAUUAUCUCCAUCGCUGCACUCAGGUUUGUUGCACGGUGGGUGUUUUAAUGGGAAACCUUCCCUAAAAACCCUGCCUGGCUGCAGCUCAAACCAGCCCUUUCUCCCUGCUCUCGUAUAGCUUCGAUCUGUUCCUAAUUGCCAGAAAACAAGCCAAGCCCCACCUGCUUCCUACCACCCACAGGCAGCCCACCAGGCCCCCUCCUCUACUUUCCAGGUCUAAACUCACCUCUGACUGCUACCCUCUCCUGUAAGACAUUUCCAAAGUGUCUGACUAAAACACACUCAGAAACCUCCCUGAAGCAGGAGCCUGGAGCUCUCAGGGCGUGGAGGAUGCCCGUGGCUUUAGAGCAUCUCCACCUCUCUGGGUACCUCCUGGCACCAAGAGAUGGAGGGGGCAAGAAAGGCCCCAAAACUUCUUAAAAUUUGAGUAAUUUUUCCUCCUUUAAACCCCACCGUGAGUCUCUCAUCAGUUCAAGGAAAUGCAUCUGCGUUCCUCUUUUACUGCUCGCUGCUAUUGGGUGAUUAAAAAACGGGGCAGCUGGGGCCACUCAUUCUUGACCUGGAGGAAAGCAGGAGGCUUAUAAAAGCUCUGAGUGCUGCAGGAAUUAUGAGGUAAUUAAAAAAAAAAAAAAAAAAAUCAGGCCAGAGCUGGGACCACGUCAAUAAAAGCAGGAGGAACUGAUGUCAGCCCCACGCAGGAUGUGGGGAGUGAUGCCUCUGCCCUCUGCUCCUGCUGCCGAGCCCCUGGUGGUGCUGAAACCUCGCACUUCCCACUGGCAGGGAUUUGGGAAUUCAGGAGACAGAACACAUGCUGGGGCUGGGUGGGCUCUUAUUUCCUUGGUGAAUUCAGCUGACUGGAAUCCCUCCCUCCCAAAUGUAAAUCCCGUGUGAGCCUUGGCGAUGGGUGUUUUAUCAGAGCAAGAUGAAAAUCCCCCAAAAAAGCAAAAAUUAAUAUUUAAAGGGAUGAGGAGGGGUUCCAAAUCACCAUUUGGGGGGUUAAGAGGCCUGGUUUUCAGGGGGGGAGCAUAUUUUGCCCGCCACAGGGUCAUAAGUAUUAAACCAGGGAAAAGAAACCUGGUUUUUCUUUAUCUAGGAUUUAUCUAACUCAAUUUAACCCAAGACUCAGCUUGGGUUUCCUGACCUGAUAAGAAGAAGGAGAGAGAAAUCAGCAGGAAUUAAUAGGCCUUUCCAUUGCUCACUGCAAUAAUCCAGGUCUUUCCAACGCUGGGGACCGACAUCCUCGUUUGGGGUCGCUCAGGACUGCUUCUCCAAAGAGCAGCCGCCUCCUCCAGGAGCAGUGCAUGGGAGGUUUUUGGGAGCAGCCUCCUGCCACCCACAUCUGUCCCCAUCCCACAGUCCUGCAGGGCACAGAUCUGGGGAUUAAAUGCCAGCAGUGCUCAGCUGCUCUGCCAGGUUUGGGCCCUGGUGGGAAUUAAAGCCCUGCCUUUAACAGCCCUCCCAACACAUUCCCAUCCCCACAGAACCCCUCACGAGUCCCUGUAACCCCCUCCCCAGAAAAACCCUUUGGGGCAGGCAGCAGGGAAGGGAAGGUUCCCCCUGUGAAUUCUCCCUAAUAAUUUCUGGCUUCGUUAAUCCAUUUUCCCUGUCUGGGACCCAUCUGGAAGCCAAGCUGUGACUUUGCUCUUGAGGGAAUCUCAGGUUUUUGCCUGUUUUCAGGGUGAUGCCUUAGGUUUUAACUUUUAUAUUUCUCAAAUCCUGCACUGCCUGCUGUGUCACUCUGAAGUUUGGUGUGGCCUCUCAGCUGCUGUUCUCUCGUGCUGGUCAGACAUAACAAACCUCGCUAGGUUUGCCCUCCAAGGACACCAGGCCCCAAAAGCUGUAAACUAAAAACCUCUGAAGAGGAGGGACAAACUUGAGGUAAUUACAUCAGGAACUGAGGCUGUAAUUGGAGAAUUAACCCUGAUAUGCAAAUGGACCAAACUCAUAAAAAUGUGAUGAACCCAUGACCCAGGGUCCAUCUGGGGUGGAGCCUUUGGACUGCCCAGGGUGAACCUUUGAAGGCCCACUUUUAUUCUCUUUUUAUUAUGUUUUAUAUAUAUUUUUUAUUAUUAUUAUUAUCCUACUUUUAUUCUCUUAUUUUCAUCUAGCCUCUGUUUUUAGGUGGCCACCUCAAGGCAUCAGUGUCUUUAUUCAAAUGUAAGGCCUUAAUGAGAACGAUACAGGGAACAAGUCCAGCCUCACUGCUUUGUUUCCUGAAUAUUUCCAUCCCAGCUGAUGAUGUCAGGUUGGCGGGUGUGGGGUUUUCCCCCUUGUAUGAAUGAACACAAUACUUCUGCAGAAAGGGAGGGGUGAGCUUGGAUGUUUUCACCGUUAGGUUUUAGGGAUCAUUAAUAAUGCCUGCAGUGCUUUCUGUAAGGAUGAGCCAAAGAUUUGGGAUGUAACAGCUUUCUAGUGGAAAAAGGGAUUAUUUCCAAUUAUAAUGUUUUGCAAAGAUGACACCUUGUUUCUGAUGAAUUCUUUUCACUUUAUUUCCAGCUUUUCGUCUUGCUCUUGUAAAAAAAAACUUGCCAGAGAGAAAAAAUGCAGCUCUUUGUAACUGAAAGGGAGUUUGCUGUGAGCUCCUCUGGAAGCCAGGCUGUGCCCAGAUCAGGUGAGAUCUGCCGCAUCUCCCAAGCCUGGGCAGUGCAGGAGAUGAGGGUACCCAGGGAGGGGGCAGGAAUCAGAUUCUGCCUCAUGCCCAUGGUCGAGCUUCUGCCCCUGAACUCAGCGCAGUCUCAUCUCUACCUUGUGAUGAAUCCCAGCUGAUUUUCCAGCCUGAGCUGUCCAGCCACUCAUGUUGGAUUAUAAACUGGAACUUUUACAGGCUGUAUGUGGGGUUUGUGGCUUCCUUUCCCUCUCUCUGUCUCCAAAGUCCACGAUUCUUAAUAAAUCAUCCUCUAGCCUGAGUUGAGUCUUGCUGUUUUAAGUUUAACUAGAUUAUUUUUUUGCUGAUAAGCCAGACUUUGAAUUCUUCCCAAGAUCACGGGUUGGGGCCCAUAAUAUCAUGGAGGAGAGACUGUUCAUGGUGAUCUAUCACAUGGGAACAGCACCAAGCUCUCAGGUUUCCCUUAGAUCAGCACUUAAAGGCACAGCACUUGUAUCUCAUGGAGCUGGUGGGAGGGAAGAGUCAGGGCUCCCACCAGAUACAUGGAAAAUGGACUGGGAUGACAGGAAAAUGUUGUAUUAUACAUCUAUUUCUUGCACUGUGUCAGUGCCAACAACUUCCUAAGGCUUUGAUCCUGACUUCACUCCAAUUUCUGCUCUUCCGACCGAACAGACCCAAAUCCACCCAAGGGUGGGAUUGAAGUGGAGCAAAGCAUUGAGAGAACCUGCUACACCCUCUUGUUGUUUCCCUCACUCUUCUUUGACACCACCCUGACACCACAUAAAUUUGUUUUCCUUGACAGCUCCAGGCAAAUGUGUCACGUUUUCAGAUCCAUCCUGAUGCGAUCCUUGUUCUCCCAGCCAGUGCCUGAGCUCCUCUCCCAGUAUCGCUGUUGACUUUGGCCUCCUCCUCAGAGCCCCGAGCAGCUCCCAUCACAUCCCACAGAGUCUCCAAGUUGUGUUCCUCGAGCAUUAACCCUGCAAGGAACCAGUGCAGCACAUGGCACAGGUCACCCUUAGAUCAGGAGAAGUUCCAGCCCCGCUCUGGGUAGAGCAGCUCCGUGAAGGGCUUUACUGGGAUGAGGUGAGAGGUGGAGGAGUCCUCCUUGAGGCAUGUCGUGUGCUCACAGCCUGUGGAAAGAAUGGAUUGAUCGAGAUUAAAGGUGUUCCUGAGAAGAGCAGCCGGGAGGAACGGUCAUGAGACACCUCAGGAAGGUCGGUGGCCAUGAGCUGAUGGCCUCUGUCCUGUCCUGAUGCAGCCACCAGCACAGGCAGCACCAACACCUUCCCCUCAGAGACUUCGCAGGAGGGUCCCAAAGUGAAACCACCAUCCCAAGUGGCCUGACAGGGGAGUUGUGGGGAACAGCCUCUUGCCUUGGUUUCCCCGAGCUGUCCCCAGGGCAGGUCGUGUGACAGGCAGGCCUGUCAGAGAAAGCAAACCCUCCAUCACCUCAUGGCUUUGGACUGCCAAAUCACACGGCUGCCAUCAGGAAGCUCAGCAGAUCCCCCUGGACCUCCUGGAGAUCAUCUGGGUGGCACAGCAGUAGGAAAGGAGCUGGAAAAUGGAUUGAAUUGCUUUUUCCCCACAAUCUCAAAGCGUUCAUGGCGGGACCUUUUGCCAGCAUUGUGCAAUGCUGGCUCACGUUUUGCUUGAACUUUAGUCCUGCUUUUAAUCCAUGCCACAGGAACCUCCAGGGAAAGGAAUGUUGCUGAUUCCUGACUUCAGCCGUGAUCAAAACCUUUCAACUCCUUCCCGGGCCAUUGUUCUAUGUCCUGUCAGCAUUGUCCCCAGGGCAAGGGCAGCUGUGUACCUGGAUCAGGAGUGCUCCUCCAUCAGAGCCAGCACUUCUCCAGCCCUGCAAAGCGAUCCUGCAGACACCUUGGAGAAUCAGCAUUGCCCCCAUGACUUCCAGUCCCCCAAAACCACAGUUAAACCAGGGUGUCCAUGUUCUGCAGACUUGCCUGGAAAAGUGGGAAUUCAGCCUGGAGGAAAGAACCAACACAAGCAAAAGCAGAAAACACCCGAUUCCUACAAACCCCUCUGUGUAUGUCUGAAUGAAGGCGUGCAUCCCCUUCCUCCCUGGCCCAGGAAGGACCACACUGCAUCCCUUGUUCGUCACCUACCGGAGCGUGGUACCACCGCCCUGCCCGAAGCUGGGGAUGGCCGCUGUGAUCCAGACAAUGGGGAUGGAGAAUGAAUGGAAAAUGAUCUCCUGUGUUGAGCUGACAACCAGCUCUCUGUU